rnacentral:rRNA from 1 species
AUACAUGCAGUCGAACGGUAAGGCUUCUUUCGGAAGACACGAGUGGCGCACGGGUGCGUAGCACGUAUGCAACCUACCCUUUAGAGGAGGAUAGUCAUUGGAAACGAUGAAUAAUACUCCAUGUUAUUAUAAGAUCGCAUGAUCUAAUAAUCAAAGCUCCGGCGCUAAAGGAUGGGCAUGCGCCCCAUUAGCUAGUUGGUGAAGUAAUGGUUUACCAAGGCAACGAUGGGUAGCUGGUCUGAGAGGAUGAUCAGCCACACGGGCACUGAGACACGGGCCCGACUCCUACGGGAGGCAGCAGUAAGGAAUAUUGGUCAAUGGGGGCAACCCUGAACCAGCCAUGCCGCGUGCAGGACGACGGCCCUCUGGGUUGUAAACUGCUUUUAUCUGGGAAUAAUUCGCUUCUAUACGAAGUUUUGUAGGUACCAGAAGAAUAAGCACCGGCUAACUACGUGCCAGCAGCCGCGGUAAUACGUAGGGUGCAAGCGUUGUCCGGAUUUAUUGGGUUUAAGGGUGCGCAGGCGGCUUUUUAAGUUAGUGGUGAAAUCGUCCGGCUUAACCGGAUACCCGCCAUUGAUACUGGCUAACUUGAGUACGUCUGAGGAGAUUAGAAUGCGUGGUGUAGCGGUGAAAUGCAUAGAUAUCACGCAGAAUACCGAUUGCGAAGGCAGAUCUCUAAGGCGGAACUGACGCUGAGGCACGAAAGCGUGGGUAGCGAACAGGAUUAGAUACCCUGGUAGUCCACGCUGUAAACGAUGAUUACUAGAUGUUCGGAUUUCGGUCUGAGUGUCCAAGCGAAAGCGAUAAGUAAUCCACCUGGGGAGUACGUUCGCAAGAAUGAAACUCAAAGGAAUUGACGGGGGCCCGCACAAGCGGUGGAGCAUGUGGUUUAAUUCGAUCAUACGCGAGGAACCUUACCUGGACUAGAAUGCCCUUGACCACUCAUGAAAGUGAGAUUUCCUUCGGGACAAGGUGCAAGGUGCUGCAUGGUUGUCGUCAGCUCGUGCCGUGAGGUGUUGGGUUAAGUCCCGCAACGAGCGCAACCCCUAUCAUUAGUUGCCAUCAGGUUAAGCUGGGAACUCUAAUGAGACUGCCUACGCAAGUAGAGAGGAAGGUGGGGACGACGUCAAAUCAUCAUGGCCCUUACGCCUAGGGCUACACACGUACUACAAUGGUUGGUACAAAGAGCAGCGAGCUAGUAAUAGCAAGCGAAUCUCAUAAAGCCAAUCUCAGUUCGGAUUGGGGUAUGCAACUCGACCCCAUGAAGUUGGAAUCGCUAGUAAUCGCGUAUCAGCAAUGACGCGGUGAAUACGUUCCCGGACCUUGUACACACCGCCCGUCAAGCCAUGGAAGUCGAGGGUACCUGAAGACGACUUUAACACUCGCCUAGGGUAAAACUGGUAACUGGGGCUAAGUCGUAACAAGGUAACCAAGGGCGAAUUC